GCGGGGGUGCCCGAGCUAGGUCAAAGGGGGCGGACAGCAUAAGUCCCGUAUUGAGGCUCCGCUGGGGAAGCCCUGCCCGGGUUCGAAUCCCGGCCCCCGCA
rnacentral:tRNA from 3 species